rnacentral:lncRNA from 1 species
GUUCCUGUGUGAUGGGGCCGGAGCCAGUAAACAGGCUUCCUUCUCGCUCUGCUGUAAGUUUUUCUCUUUCUCCCUUUUCACCCAAGAAGUUCCGUUUUUCCUACCCUUCUACGUGUCCGCGAGUCUAAUCUUUUCUGGCCAUAUGACAAGAACCAGGAUUUUCCUACAAUAUAAUUUGUAUAAGAAGAAGAAGUAGGAGAAACAAAAUAAGGAGGAGAAGAAGUAAAAUAAUUUGAGAAGGAAUAUGAAGGGGCUGAAAUCCUGGGCUUUCUGGGCAGAAGGAUCUACGAGCGGGAUCGUGGGUGAAACAUGAAGAUGAUGGUGGACAGGUGAGCUACGCAGUUCGUGGAAGAACCAGGGGUCACAUGGCCUAGAUGCUACCCUAGAUGAGAAAGAGUCCAAUGGUUAUCAACAAGUUCUGAAAGGCAAGGCCUAAGGUACUGAAAAUUAUAUUACUCAAAGCUGAAGGCAGCAAAUCUGUUCAUGUUUACACAGUUGGGAAAGUGGACUUGUGUUUUUUACAAGCAAACCAGUGACCAGCCAAUGGCAGGAGACCUUCCCCACCCCUAAAGGUGAUGCUCACCUACCGUCAUGGGUAAAAGGAAGCUCUGGCUCGAAUUCCUCAUGUAUUAUUCAUGUGUGAUGCCACCCAACGUGAUUCAGAGAAGAAAAUUCUCAGUGUGUUCACCAGAGGUGAUUACAUGAGAAUAAAGCACGGCCUGAUUUUUUUUCUUGUUCACAGGAAAAAAAAAAGAAAAGAAUGUAGAAUUUCUGAUGUGGGAUUGUUUCGACCUUGGAGAGUGUCCGUAUGAGACACAUGUGUGGUAUACAAAACACCUUUAAGAUUUAAUCAGAAUUGUAUAUCUUUCC